GCUGGUAUUGGAAAACAGGUUUCUGAGGAGAAAUGCCUGGAAACCAAAGCAAUGGAUCCAAUUAGGGCUUAGGGGCCUGUCCGGUUCAAUCUUCUUCUCUGGGGACUUCUUUUGUCUGAGUGGAGGUAUUGGCUCAGC